GAGCCUCUUUGGAGUGUCUCCACUUCAUGCGUCUGUUCUGAAACCACACCUUUACCUGGAGGAACACAUGGAGGCCAUGCUGUCAGGCUUUAAUGUGUGACAUCUCCUGGCCAAUCAGAUUGCACCGUACAGUCAGGAUGCUGCAGGUUUGAAAACACAGCCCUGGACCACGACCUCUUCCUCUUGUACGUCUGCGGCAUGGUGUCUUUGGUGAGGACGGCGUAUGGACCUG